rnacentral:rRNA from 1 species
GGGGAUAAGCGGAAGAAAUUCCGUCUAAUACCGCGUAAUAACUCCGAGAGGCAUCUCCUGGGGUUUAAAGGGUAACACCGGCUACGGAUGGCCAUGCGGCGCAUUAGCUAGUUGGCGGGGUAACGGCCCACCAAGGCGACGAUGCGUAGGGGUUCUGAGAGGAAGGUCCCCCACACUGGUACUGAGACACGGACCAGACUCCUACGGGAGGCAGCAGUGAGGAAUAUUGGUCAAUGGGCGCGAGCCUGAACCAGCCAAGUCGCGUGAGGGAAGACGGUCCUAUGGAUUGUAAACCUCUUUUGUCGGGGAGCAAAAGACGCCACGCGUGGCGUUCCGAGAGUACCCGAAGAAAAAGCAUCGGCUAACUCCGUGCCAGCAGCCGCGGUAAUACGGAGGAUGCGAGCGUUAUCCGGAUUUAUUGGGUUUAAAGGGUGCGCAGGCGGAAGAUCAAGUCAGCGGUAAAAUUGAGAGGCUCAACCUCUUCGAGCCGUUGAAACUGGUUUUCUUGAGUGAGCGAGAAGUAUGCGGAAUGCGUGGUGUAGCGGUGAAAUGCAUAGAUAUCACGCAGAACUCCGAUUGCGAAGGCAGCAUACCGGCGCUCAACUGACGCUCAUGCACGAAAGUGUGGGUAUCGAACAGGAUUAGAUACCCUGGUAGUCCACACAGUAAACG